rnacentral:rRNA from 1 species
GACGAACGCUGGCGGCGUGCUUAACACAUGCAAGUCGAACGGAAAGGCCCUGCUUUUGUGGGGUGCUCGAGUGGCGAACGGGUGAGUAACACGUGAGUAACCUGCCCUUGACUUUGGGAUAACUUCAGGAAACUGGGGCUAAUACCGGAUAGGAGCUCCUGCUGCAUGGUGGGGGUUGGAAAGUUUCGGCGGUUGGGGAUGGACUCGCGGCUUAUCAGCUUGUUGGUGGGGUAGUGGCUUACCAAGGCUUUGACGGGUAGCCGGCCUGAGAGGGUGACCGGCCACAUUGGGACUGAGAUACGGCCCAGACUCCUACGGGAGGCAGCAGUGGGGAACAUUGCACAAUGGGCGGAAGCCUGAUGCAGCAACGCCGCGUGCGGGAUGACGGCCUUCGGGUUGUAAACCGCUUUCGCCUGUGACGAAGCGUGAGUGACGGUAAUGGGGAAAGAAGCACCGGCUAACUACGU